rnacentral:lncRNA from 1 species
UAGUGAUGUUGAGGUUUUUUUCAUAUGUUCAGUAAUUUUUUGAAAUCAAGGAAUGGCCAUGUGAUGCAAUUCUGGCAGAUGAGAAUUAUAGGAGCUCUCCCAGAGGCUCCCAGGGAAGAUUUUUCUGAAAGAUCCUUUGAGUCUUUUGCUUGCAGCUAAGAAAAAUAAAAAAUGCUUCCCCUCAGGAUUGACCAAGUCACAGAGAUAGUAAAUGAUUCAAUUGCAGAGUGUACCUUUCUUACGCAGGCCAACAGAUGCGGUGCUCACAUACCAGUACCUCAUAAUCUGGGCCAUUCUCCACCUGCCCUAAUCACCCCAAGACCAGUACCAGGCAACUAGGGACAGCCGCUAUGUCCCAGAGUCCACUAAAACCAUCCAAACUUGCCCAUUCUAAGCCUGCUUACCCUGUCUUGCCCAUUCCUUCCUGAGAAAUCCAGAAUAGAGGCUCCUGCUGGCAUUCUCCCCUUGCUUCCUCUGCCUCCCAAUGGACCUUGGUUCCCCGUGUGGCCCUGAAUGUGCCCCCUUUUUUGGGAACUGUGAGUAACAAACUGUCAUUUCAAUGGCAAUCAUCUUCUGUUCCAUAGUCUUCCCUUGUAUUAGUCUUUUUCCACACUACUGACAAAGACAUACCGAAGAUUGGGAGGAAAAAGAGGCUUAAUUGGACUUAUAGUUCCACAUGUCUGGGGAGGCCUCAGAAUCAUGGCGGGAGGCAAAAGGGACUUCCUACAUGGUGGCAGCAAGAGAAAAUGAGGGAGAAGCAAAAGCAGAAACCCCUGAUAAACCCAUCAGAUCUUGUGAGACUUAUUCAC